GCCCCGGUAGGGUAGUGGACAUCCUAGAAGCCUCCGGAGCUUUUGACCUGGGUUCGAAUCCCAGCCGGGGCG
rnacentral:tRNA from 1 species